rnacentral:tRNA from 1 species
AAUAAGAUGCCUGAAAAUUAAGGACUAUUUUGAUAGAAUAGAUUAUGUAUUUAUUAUACUCUUAUUA